GACGAACGCUGGCGGCGUGCUUAACACAUGCAAGUCGAACGCUGAAGCCCAGCUUGCUGGGUGGAUGAGUGGCGAACGGGUGAGUAACACGUGAGUAACCUGCCCUCUUCUUUGGGAUAACGCCCGGAAACGGGUGCUAAUACUGGAUAUUCACUGAUUCUCGCAUGGGGGUUGGUGGAAAGGUUUUUUCUGGUGGGGGAUGGGCUCGCGGCCUAUCAGCUUGUUGGUGGGGUGAUGGCCUACCAAGGCUUUGACGGGUAGCCGGCCUGAGAGGGUGACCGGUCACAUUGGGACUGGGAUACGGCCCAGACUUCUACGGGAGGCAGCAGUGGGGGAGAUUGCACAAGGGGCGAACGCGUGAGGCAGCGACGCCGCGUGAGGGACGGGGGCGUUCGGGUUGCAAACCUCGUUCGCGCAGGGUCAUGGCGCAGCGUUGGGUUGAGGUGACGGUAGUGGGGAAAGAAGCGCCGGCUAACUACGUG
rnacentral:rRNA from 1 species